rnacentral:rRNA from 1 species
GGAGUCUAGCAUGUGCGCGAGUCAUUGGGACAUAACUAAACCUAAAGGCGCAAUGAAAGUGAAGGUCCGCCUCGCGCGGAUCGAGGGAAGAUGGGCGGUUUUCCGAAAAGUGGCCGCCCCGCAUUCCCGGGGCGUCUCGUUCUCAUCGCGAGAAGAGGCGCACCAAGAGCGUACACGCUGGGACCCGAAAGAUGGUGAACUAUGCCUGGUCAGGACGAAGUCAGGGGAAACCCUGAUGGAGGUCCGUAGCGAUUCUGACGUGCAAAUCGAUCGUCGGAACUGGGUAUAGGGGCGAAAGACUAAUCGAACCAUCUAGUAGCUGGUUCCCUCCGAAGUUUCCCUCAGGAUAGCUGGCGCUCGUCGCGCACGAGUCUCAUCCGGUAAAGCGAAUGAUUAGAGGCAUUGGGGUCGAAACGGCCUCAACCUAUUCUCAAACUUUAAAUGGGUGAGAUCUCCGGCUUGCUCGAACUACUGAAGCCGCGAGACACGGAUCAGAGUGCCAAGUGGGCCAUUUUUGGUAAGCAGAACUGGCGCUGUGGGAUGAACCAAACGCCGAGUUAAAGCGCCUAAAUCGACGCUUAUGGGACACCAUGAAAGGCGUUGGUAACUUAAGACAGCAGGACGGUGGCCAUGGAAGUC